AUUUAUCUGUAUUGAAAAAGAAGGGAAAUUCUAAUUUUUAAUUAUGCUAAAUCAAAAGUUGAAUAAACUCAUUAUAAAAACCAAUAUUUGUUUAUUGAGUUUUGAAAAAGAAAUUUCAUUCAUAUUAAAGGAAAAACAGUAUGUCCUUGUAUUGCAGUUCCCAUGACAUCAACAUUUGUUGGAAAUAGCAUUUAAAAACAGAGUUUCAUUAAUUUAUAGUUUUUAACAUAGUAAUUUUGAUUAAAAAAAAUAUGAAUUGAAUUUAUCCUGAGUUUCCAUGGUAAAAUAACCAUUGCUUAUAUGUCUCAUCAUAGCUAAACACUGCCCUGAAGUUUAGAUAGUUUAUGUAUAGAUAGCUUUUGAUUGACACAAUGUAAUCAUGAGUUAUUUCCCUUUAAUUGGUAUAUUGGAAACAAUGGCACAAAUGCCUUGUUUGUAUUAAAUAUUUCAAUUUGGUUAGUCAAAAAGGAAAAGCUAUUAGGUACACCUUUACAUGAUGUCCAAGGGAAAUAACUCAAACAUGAGUUAUUUCCCUUUAAUUGUCAUGUUGGAAACAUUGGCAUAAAUGCCUUGUUUGUGUUAAAUAUUUCAAUUUGGUUAGUCAAAAAGGAAAGGCAAUCAGCUGGUACAUCUUUGCAUAACAGUUAAGCGAAAUAACUCUUAACUCAAACUAUGUCAUAUUGAAACCUAUUUAUACCAUCACACCUCAUUUAACUUCACAUUUAAACCUUUUUUUUAUCAUAAAUCUCAAAAAAAAUUGAUCACAUUUUGUAUAUAUAUGUAAUAAGUAUGUCCAUGCAGGGUGUUUUAGUAUUUCAAAUGUACAGGGAAUGCAAGUUUGUAGUGGUUUUUUUUUUUAACUCAUUCACAACCAUGUCUUGGUAAUCAUUGUACAUUUAACAUCAAAUUUUACUUCAUCAGUUGUUCAUAUUUUUUCCUGUUUUUUACCUUGAUUUUAUUUGUCCAUGAAUGUAUAAAAGGCUGCUUAAUAAUGAAUAUCAAUACUUUUCAAAAAGACUUUAUGACAAAAAAAUGUUUUAGUGCCAUUUUUAAAUAUGAUUGUUUUUAAACUGUUGAUUAUUUGACCUUUAUCGUAACAGUGAUUUUAACAUUGUAUAUCAUUUCAUGAUUUCAGACAAGAUUUACUUCCACAUCAUUUGGUCUCUGGUGGGAAUUUGACCUAUUGGCACCCAUACAAUGUCUCUUUAUUUUUAUACCAGGUCAAUCUCAUAUAUUUCAACUAAAGUCCUAUAUAUUUUAAUUUUUAGUUUAAUCCAAGUACAUACAUUUUUACUUUAUUUUUAAUGGUUUUUUUUUAAUUGUUUGGUUGCUGUUUAAUGGAUGUUUUUUCCCAUACAUUCUUUAUUUUACAUGCAUUGUGUUUUAUUGCUUUUAUUCAUGAAAUUUAAAUUAAAGGGUUGCUGUUCAUUAAAAUCACUCACCAAUACAAAAUUAAUCAUUAUUUCAUAUUAUGAUAGUUGUUGAUUUGUUGUUUGUUUUGUAAGAAUUGUGUUUGUGUGU
rnacentral:lncRNA from 1 species